rnacentral:rRNA from 1 species
UACGUAGGGGGCAAGCGUUGUCCGGAAUCAUUGGGCGUAAAGCGCGUGUAGGCGGUUCGAUAAGUCUGCUGUGAAAGUCCAGGGCUCAACCCUGGAAAGCCGGUGGAUACUGUCGGGCUAGAGUACGGAAGAGGCGAGUGGAAUUCCUGGUGUAGCGGUGAAAUGCGCAGAUAUCAGGAGGAACACCCAUUGCGAAGGCAGCUCGCUGGGACGUUACUGACGCUGAGACGCGAAAGCGUGGGGAGCAAACAGG